rnacentral:tRNA from 1 species
ACCGAGGUGGUGAAAUUGGUAAACACGCUACUUUGAGGUGGUAGUACCUGUAAGGUUUACGGGUUCAAGUCCCGUCCUCGGUA